ensembl:lncRNA
CUUGAGAUUUUGACAUAGGGAGGCAAUGAGAACGACCCUUUCCUUCUGGUGGAGGUUGCUGAGCAGGGGUGAUAUGAGCUUCUCAGUCUGUUCAAGCUGCUAUAACAAAAUGCCUUAGACUGGGAGGCUUAAAAACAACAGACAGUUAUUUCUCCCAGUUCUACAGACUGGGAAGUUCAAGAUAAGGUGGCAGCAGAUUUGGUGUCUGGUGACCACCUGCUUUCUGGCUCAUAGCUUGCUACAGUUUGAAUGUCCCCUCCAAAACUCAUGUUGAAACUUAAUCCCUAAUGUGGCAGUGUUGAGAGGCAGGGCUUUUAAUAACGUUCCCAGCAGAAAGAAGGCACUCACCAGAUGUGACCCUGCCUCCUUGGACUUCUCAGACUCCAUAACUAGGCAAUUCUGUUUGCUGCAAAGAAUCAAGAGGCAAACCUGUAAGACUCAGGUGAAAAGACAAGGAAAAUUGGAACUUCUUUUUCUGUUCUGGGAUCUUGUUUUGAAUGUUGCUUAAAACGACCGAGUCUUACUCAGACACUGGCAACCAUUUCGCGCAGAAGAGAUUUCUGCCAAGACAAGAUGCAAAUUGUAGAUUGGACCCAUUGGUUUUGGAGUCUGGGGAUAUGCAGAGGCUAUGCAGAGGGGUGCUGCUCAGCUCAGCACCCCUGGUUUUCUGGAUGGAGUCGGGGCACCAGCUGGCAGGCAGCCCAGCACAGCUCAUUUUUUGAAAAACCAAAAUGAAACAGCAACACCACCAACAACAUAGCAUCAUCUUGAACAGAAAAAUAUAGCAAGGAGCUGGGAGACAGAUUAAGCAAUUCAGGAGCUAGGAUGACGUGUGGGAAUUUUAGACUGUUUCAUCCCAUUAGCAAAGAUAAAAUGCAUACAUUUCACAUAAAGUCAUGUGUUGUUAACACAAAUUUAUAAUUCUAUUGAAGGUCAAUAAAAUGCUUAAUACAAUAUUCAUGUGAUUAGGAAUUCCCAUGUUGCAGAGGCUAGAAGGACACUUCUACUCUCAGGCUGAGGGUCUGGGCUUCCCAGCUCAUUCCAAGCCUGAGGCAGAGCCACCUGGACUGGUGGCAGUGGUCAGAGGAAGGACACAAAAGCUUUGGAACGUGCAUCCCUUGGAGGUUGCUGGUGCUGACUCUGGACAUUUCAUUCCCCAGUGACCUUGUUGUUUCUUCUCCUCAUUUGUGAAGUGUCCUGUUUGCUUUAUAGGCUUGUUUAGACACUCAGAUGAAAUAAUGGAUGAUAUUAUGAAAAUUGUAAGUGACAAUAGAAAUGUAAGAUGCACAUAGGAAUGAGAGAAAUAGAUCCUCAGAAGAAGGAGGAAAACCACCAAGCCUAAAACACUAAGAAGCUAAAGCUCGGGUCUGGAUGAGAAAAAAAAGGCUUAAGAGGACUAAGAUUGCAAAGCCAGGAUGAUGCUGUGUUUUUGCUGACCUCUUUGGAAUAUGGUUGGCUACUAGAAUCCUGGCAGGGCCCUGUAAGAGUCGCUGGCCAGACAGACUCUCGAGCCGGCCUGCCUGGUUUCACACUCUGCCUCACCACUGUGACCAUGUGACCUUGGGUGGGAGACUUUGCUUCUCUUUGCCUCAAUUUUCUUAUCUGUGAAAUGGGGAUAACCACAUUCAUCUCAGAGGAUAGUUGUAAGAAUUAAGAGAAUCCAUUCAUGUGAAGUGAUUCAGAAUAUUUCCAGAAUAGUGUCUGGAAAAUGAUAAGUUCUCAAUAAAUCAGCAAUCAUUAUUUCC